rnacentral:rRNA from 1 species
CCUACGGGUGGCAGCAGUGGGGAAUAUUGCACAAUGGGGGGAACCCUGAUGCAGCAACGCCGCGUGGGUGAAGAAGUACUUCGGUAUGUAAAGCCCUGUCAGCAGGGAAGAAAAUGACGGUACCUGACCAAGAAGCCCCGGCUAACUACGUGCCAGCAGCCGCGGUAAUACGUAGGGGGCAAGCGUUAUCCGGAUUUACUGGGUGUAAAGGGAGCGUAGACGGCUAAGCAAGUCUGGAGUGAAAGCCCGGGGCUCAACCAUGGGACUGCUUUGGAAACUGUGUAGCUGGAGUGCAGGAGAGGUAAGCGGAAUUCCUAGUGUAGCGGUGAAAUGCGUAGAUAUUAGGAGGAACACCGGUGGCGAAGGCGGCUUACUGGACUGUAACUGACGUUGAGGCUCGAAGGCGUGGGGAGCAAACAGGAUUAGAUACCCCGGUAGUC